GUGUUGGCAAAAUCCAACACUGGGGUGUGGAAGCUCCAAUCUAUCAGGACGCACAAUACCGCCGCGUCGCGGUUUUUUU
rnacentral:sRNA from 1 species